UACGUAGGGUGCAAGCGUUAUCCGGAAUUAUUGGGCGUAAAGAGCUCGUAGGCGGUUUGUCACGUCUGCUGUGAAAACUGGAGGCUCAACCUCCAGCCUGCAGUGGGUACGGGCAGACUAGAGUGCGGUAGGGGAGAUUGGAAUUCCUGGUGUAGCGGUGAAAUGCGCAGAUAUCAGGAGGAACACCAAUAGCGAAGGCAGCUCGCUGGGACGGUAUUGACGCUAAGGCGCGAAAGCGUGGGGAGCGAACAGG
rnacentral:rRNA from 1 species